AUUGAACGCUGGCGGCAGGCCUAACACAUGCAGGUCGAGCGGAUGAAGGGAGCUUGCUCCUGGAUUCAGCGGCGGACGGGUGAGUAAUGCCUAGGAAUCUGCCUGGUAGUGGGGGAUAACGUCCGGAAACGGGCGCUAAUACCGCAUACGUCCUGAGGGAGAAAGUGGGGGAUCUUCGGACCUCACGCUAUCAGAUGAGCCUAGGUCGGAUUAGCUAGUUGGUGGGGUAAAGGCCUACCAAGGCGACGAUCCGUAACUGGUCUGAGAGGAUGAUCAGUCACACUGGAACUGAGACACGGUCCAGACUCCUACGGGAGGCAGCAGUGGGGAAUAUUGGACAAUGGGCGAAAGCCUGAUCCAGCCAUGCCGCGUGUGUGAAGAAGGUCUUCGGAUUGUAAAGCACUUUAAGUUGGGAGGAAGGGCAGUAAGUUAAUACCUUGCUGUUUUGACGUUACCAACAGAAUAAGCACCGGCUAACCUCGUG
rnacentral:rRNA from 1 species